rnacentral:tRNA from 1 species
GCGGGAGUAACUCAGCGGUAGAGUGCCACCUUGCCAAGGUGGACGUCGAGGGUUCAAAUCCCUUCUCCCGCUCCA